rnacentral:tRNA from 1 species
GCCCAAGUGGCGGAAUGGUAGACGCAGGGGAUUCAAAAUCCCCCGCCGCAAGGCGUGCCGGUUCGAGUCCGGCCUUGGGCA